rnacentral:tRNA from 1 species
GCUAGAAAAGCUUAUAUAGUGGUAGUCUUGUAAACUAACGAUAGAGACUUUUGUUUCUUCUAGUA